rfam:Oryza sativa Japonica Group DNA, chromosome 6, cultivar: Nipponbare, complete sequence.
UAUAAGUGAUUUUGAGUUUUUGUUUGCAGUAUUUGAUCACUCGUCUUAUUCAAAAUAUUUUGGAAUUAUUAUUUAUUUUUUUGUGACUUGCUUUAUUAUCCAAAGUACUUUAAGCACAACUUUUCGUUUUUUAUAUUUGCACAAAUUUUUUGAAUAAGACGAGUGGUCAAACAGUGCAAGCAAAAACUCAAAAUCUCUUAUA